rnacentral:rRNA from 1 species
UACGUAGGGUGCAAGCGUUGUCCGGAAUUAUUGGGCGUAAAGAGCGUGUAGGCGGCCCGAUUAGUCCGCUGUGAAAGUCCAGGGCUCAACCCUGGAAUGCCGGUGGAUACUGUCGGGCUAGAGUCCGGAAGGGGCGAGUGGAAUUCCUGGUGUAGCGGUGAAAUGCGCAGAUAUCAGGAGGAACACCAGUGGCGAAGGCGGCCGACUGGUCCGGUUCUGACGCUGAGGCGCGAAAGCGUGGGGAGCAAACAGG